CGCAUGAACAACGCUUAAAAGAUGGCUUCUCGCUAUCACUUCUGGAUGGACCUGCGGUGCAUUAGCUUGUUGGUGGGGUAACGGCCUACCAAGGCGAUGAUGCAUAGCCGAGUUGAGAGACUGAUCGGCCACAAUGGGACUGAGACACGGCCCAUACUCCUACGGGAGGCAGCAGUAGGGAAUCUUCCACAAUGGGCGCAAGCCUGAUGGAGCAACACCGCGUGAGUGAAGAAGGGUUUCGGCUCGUAAAGCUCUGUUGUUAAAGAAGAACACGUAUGAGAGUAACUGUUCAUACGUUGACGGUAUUUAACCAGAAAGUCACGGCUAACUACGUGCCAGCAGCCGCGGUAAUACGUAGGUGGCAAGCGUUAUCCGGAUUUAUUGGGCGUAAAGAGAGUGCAGGCGGUUUUCUAAGUCUGAUGUGAAAGCCUUCGGCUUAACCGGAGAAGUGCAUCGGAAACUGGAUAACUUGAGUGCAGAAGAGGGUAGUGGAACUCCAUGUGUAGCGGUGGAAUGCGUAGAUAUAUGGAAGAACACCAGUGGCGAAGGCGGCUACCUGGUCUGCAACUGACGCUGAGACUCGAAAGCAUGGGUAGCGAACAGGAUUAGAUACCCUGGUAGUCCAUGCCGUAAACGAUGAGUGCUAGGUGUUGGAGGGUUUCCGCCCUUCAGUGCCGGAGCUAACGCAUUAAGCACUCCGCCUGGGGAGUACGACCGCAAGGUUGAAACUCAAAGGAAUUGACGGGGGCCCGCACAAGCGGUGGAGCAUGUGGUUUAAUUCGAAGCUACGCGAAGAACCUUACCAGGUCUUGACAUCUUGCGCCAACCCUAGAGAUAGGGCGUUUCCUUCGGGAACGCAAUGACAGGU
rnacentral:rRNA from 1 species